rnacentral:rRNA from 1 species
UACGUAGGGGGCAAGCGUUGUCCGGAAUCAUUGGGCGUAAAGAGCGCGUAGGCGGUCCGGUAAGUCGGUUGUGAAAACUGGGGGCUCAACCCUCAGAGGCCGACCGAUACUGUCGGGCUAGAGUCCGGAAGAGGCGAGUGGAAUUCCUGGUGUAGCGGUGAAAUGCGCAGAUAUCAGGAGGAACACCAAUGGCGAAGGCAGCUCGCUGGGACGGUACUGACACUGAGGCGCGAAAGCGUGGGGAGCGAACAGG